rnacentral:rRNA from 1 species
UACGAAGGGGGCUAGCGUUGCUCGGAAUCACUGGGCGUAAAGGGUGCGUAGGCGGGUCUUUUAAGUCAGGGGUGAAAUCCUGGAGCUCAACUCCAGAACUGCCUUUGAUACUGAAGAUCUUGAGUUCGGGAGAGGUGAGUGGAACUGCGAGUGUAGAGGUGAAAUUCGUAGAUAUUCGCAAGAACACCAGUGGCGAAGGCGGCUCACUGGCCCGAUACUGACGCUGAGGCACGAAAGCGUGGGGAGCGAACGAGG